UACAGAGGUCUCAAGCGUUGUUCGGAUUCAUUGGGCGUAAAGGGUGUGUAGGUGGCGCCGUAAGUCGGGUGUGAAAUUUCGGAGCUUAACUCCGAAACUGCAUUCGAUACUGCGGUGCUUGAGGACUGGAGAGGAGACUGGAAUUCAUGGUGUAGCAGUGAAAUGCGUAGAUAUCAAGUGGAACACCAGUGGCGAAGGCGAGUCCCUGGACAACUCCUGACACUGAGGCACGAAGGCCAGGGGAGCAAACGGG
rnacentral:rRNA from 1 species